UACGUAGGGGGCUAGCGUUGUCCGGAAUCAUUGGGCGUAAAGCACGUGUAGGCGGUUCGGUAAGUCCGCUGUGAAAGUCGGGGGCUCAACCCUCGGAUGCCGGUGGAUACUGUCGGACUAGAGUACGGAAGAGGCGAGUGGAAUUCCUGGUGUAGCGGUGAAAUGCGCAGAUAUCAGGAGGAACACCGAUUGCGAAGGCAGCUCGCUGGGACGUUACUGACGCUGAGACGCGAAAGCGUGGGGAGCAAACAGG
rnacentral:rRNA from 1 species